rnacentral:rRNA from 1 species
GGAUUAGGCAUGCAAGUCGAGCGAGAAGUUCCUUCGGGAACGGACAGCGGCGAAAGGGAGAGGAAUACGUAGAAAUCUACCCCCGAGACCGGGAUAGCGUCGGGAAACUGGCAGUAAUACCGGAUAAUGUCUUCGGACCAAAGGUGUGAUUCCACUCGGGGAUGAGUCUACGCCCUAUUAGCUAGUUGGUGGGGUAAUGGCCUACCAAGGCGAUGAUGGGUAGCGGGUGUGAGAGCAUGACCCGCCUCACUGGGACUGAGAACUGCCCAGACACCUACGGGUGGCUGCAGUCGAGAAUCUUUGUCAAUGGACGAAAGUCUGAACAAGCGACGCCGCGUGCGGGAUGAAGGCCUUCGGGUUAAACC